rnacentral:rRNA from 1 species
AGAGUUUGAUCCUGGCUCAGGAUGAACGCUGGCGGCGUGCCUAACACAUGCAAGUCGAACGUCCUUUCGGUCUUCGGACCGAGAGGGAGUGGCGGACGGGUGAGUAACACAUGGGAACCUACCUUUCAGUGAGGAAUACCGGCGAGAAAUCGCCGACAAGACCGCAUGGGCUUCCCCCUUUGUGAGAAGGGGGAAGCAAAGUCGUUGUGGUGCAAGCCACACGGACGCUGGAAGAUGGGCCUGUGGCCGAUUAGCUGGUUGGUGGGGUAAGAGCCUACCAAGGCCAUGAUCGGUAGCUGGUCUGAGAGGACGAGCAGCCACACUGGGAUUGAGAACGGCCCAGACUCCUACGGGGGGCAGCAGUGAGGAAUUUUCCGCAAUGGGGGCAACCCUGACUGAGCAACGCCGCGUGCAGGAAGACGGCCUUCGGGUUGUAAACUGCUUUUGGGAGGGACGAGCAAGGACGGUACCUUCCGAAUCAGCCCCGGCUAACUACGUGCCAGCAGCCGCGGUAAUACGUAGGGGGCGAGCGUUGUCCGGAGUUACUGGGCGUAAAGGGCACGCAGGCGGUCAGCCAGGUUUGUCAUGACAGCGCGCGGCUUAACGGCGCGAGGCAGGCAAAGACGGGCUGACUUGAGGCAUCCAGAGGGACACAGAAUUCCGGGUGUAGUGGUGAAAUGCGUAGAUAUCCGGAGGAAUACCAAAGGCGAAGGCAGUGUUCUGGGGAUGAACUGACGCUCAGGUGCGAAAGCCAGGGGAGCGAACGGGAUUAGAUACCCCGGUAGUCCUGGCCGUAAACGAUGACCACUAGGUGUGGGAGGUAUCGACCCCUUCCGUGCCGUCGUUAACGCAAUAAGUGGUCCGCCUGGGGAGUACGGUCGCAAGAUUAAAACUCAAAGGAAUUGACGG